GAUGAACGCUAGCUAUAGGCUUAACACAUGCAAGUCGAGGGGAAACGGCAUUAUGUGCUUGCACAUUUUGGACGUCGACCGGCGCACGGGUGAGUAUCGCGUAUCCAACCUGCCCUUUACUUGGGGAUACCCCGUUGAAAGACGGCCUAAUACCCGAUGUAGUUCAUUGAUGGCAUCAGAUAUGAAUAAAAGAUUUAUCGGUAAAGGAUGGGGAUGCGUCUGAUUAGCUUGUUGGUGAGGUAACGGCUCACCAAGGCUACGAUCAGUAGGGGUUCUGAGAGGAAGGUCCCCCACAUUGGAACUGAGACACGGUCCAAACUCCUACGGGAGGCAGCAGUGAGGAAUAUUGGUCAAUGGGCGCAAGCCUGAACCAGCCAAGUAGCGUGCAGGAAGACGGCCCUAUGGGUUGUAAACUGCUUUUAUACGAGAAUAAUUUGAUGCACGUGUGCGUUAUUGCAUGCAUCGUAUGAAUAAGGACCGGCUAAUUCCGUGCCAGCAGCCGCGGUAAUACGGAAGGUCCAGGCGUUAUCCGGAUUUAUUGGGUUUAAAGGGAGUGUAGGCGGUUUGUUAAGCGUGUUGUGAAAUUUAGGUGCUCAACAUUUAACUUGCAGCGCGAACUGUCAGACUUGAGUACACGCAACGUAUGCGGAAUUCAUGGUGUAGCGGUGAAAUGCUUAGAUAUCAUGAAGAACUCCGAUUGCGAAGGCAGCAUACGGGAGUGUAACUGACGCUUAAGCUCGAAGGUGCGGGUAUCGAACAGG
rnacentral:rRNA from 1 species